rnacentral:rRNA from 1 species
CAGCAGUGAGGAAUAUUGGGCAAUGCCCGAAAGGGUGACCCAGCAACGCCGCGUGGAGGAUGAAGUCCUUCUGGAUGUAAACUCCUUUUAGAGGGGACGAAAAGCCCGUUAAGACGGGAAUUGACGGUACCCUCAGAAAAAGCACCGGCUAACUACGUGCCAGCAGCCGCGGUAAUACGUAGGGUGCAAGCGUUGUCCGGAUUCACUGGGUGUAAAGGGUGCGCAGGCGGGCUCUUAAGUCAAAGGUGAAAUCUCACGGCUUAACCGUGAAAUUGCCUUUGAUACUGAGAGUCUUGAGUACGGGAGAGGGAGAUGGAAUUCCAGGUGUAGCGGUGAAAUGCGUAGAUAUCUGGAGGAACACCGGAGGCGAAGGCGGUCUCCUGGCCCGUUACUGACGCUCAUGCACGAAAGCGUGGGGAGCAAACAGGAUUAGAUACCCUGGUAGUCCACGCCCUAAACGAUGGGUACUAGAUGUCGGUCCCGAAAGGGGUCGGUGUCGAAGCUAACGCAUA